rnacentral:rRNA from 1 species
UACGAAGGGGGCUAGCGUUGCUCGGAAUCACUGGGCGUAAAGGGUGCGUAGGCGGGUCUUUUAAGUCAGGGGUGAAAUCCUGGAGCUCAACUCCAGAACUGCCUUUGAUACUGAGGAUCUUGAGUUCGGGAGAGGUGAGUGGAACUGCGAGUGUAGAGGUGAAAUUCGUAGAUAUUCGCAAGAACACCAGUGGCGAAGGCGGCUCACUGGCCCGAUACUGACGCUGAGGCACAAAGCGUGGGGAGCAAACGGG